GCUCUUGUGGUCAUCGUAUCUCCUGGCAGAUUUGUCUGCGAAUU
rnacentral:sRNA from 1 species